AUUCCUGCGCAGAGGCAGUAUCAUAGUCUAUGAAGUUCUACUGAGACGUGAUUAUUGCUAGUUGAAAACUUUACCCAAUACCCCCGCCUGGUUGAUUUGCAAUAUAAUCAGCUGUGGCAAUUUUUGAUGGUCUCCUUAGAGA
ensembl:snRNA U4 U4 spliceosomal RNA